AUGGAGGUCCUGGGGCUGUUCCUCUGCCUGGUGGCAGCUCCCUGCUGUGUCCUGUCCCAAAUGCAGCUGCAGGAGUCAGGACCUGGACUGGUGAAGCCUUCACGGACACUAUCCCUCACUUGUGCUGUGUCUGUUUACUCCAUCCUAACCAAUCCUUACCACUGGGCAUGGAUCUCCCAGCCCCCAGGACAGAGCCUGGAGUGGAUGGGGUACAUACUCUAUGAUGGAAGCAUUAACUACAGCCCACCCCCCAAGAGCCGCAUCUCUAUCACCAGAGACACAUCCAAGAACCAGUUCUCCCUUCAGCUGAGCUCUGUGACCACAGAGGACACAGCUGUGUAUUACUGUGCAAGAGACACAGAGAGGGGACUUAAAUGUGAUCCCUGA